ACGCUGGCGGCGUGCCUAAUACAUGCAAGUAGAACGCUGAAGAGAGGAGCUUGCUCUUCUUGGAUGAGUUGCGAACGGGUGAGUAACGCGUAGGUAACCUGCCUUGUAGCGGGGGAUAACUAUUGGAAACGAUAGCUAAUACCGCAUAACAAUGGAUGACACAUGUCAUUUAUUUGAAAGGGGCAAUUGCUCCACUACAAGAUGGACCUGCGUUGUAUUAGCUAGUAGGUGAGGUAACGGCUCACCUAGGCGACGAUACAUAGCCGACCUGAGAGGGUGAUCGGCCACACUGGGACUGAGACACGGCCCAGACUCCUACGGGAGGCAGCAGUAGGGAAUCUUCGGCAAUGGGGGCAACCCUGACCGAGCAACGCCGCGUGAGUGAAGAAGGUUUUCGGAUCGUAAAGCUCUGUUGUAAGUCAAGAACGAGUGUGAGAGUGGAAAGUUCACACUGUGACGGUAGCUUACCAGAAAGGGACGGCUAACUACGUGCCAGCAGCCGCGGUAAUACGUAGGUCCCGAGCGUUGUCCGGAUUUAUUGGGCGUAAAGCGAGCGCAGGCGGUUUGAUAAGUCUGAAGUUAAAGGCUGUGGCUCAACCAUAGUUCGCUUUGGAAACUGUCAAACUUGAGUGCAGAAGGGGAGAGUGGAAUUCCAUGUGUAGCGGUGAAAUGCGUAGAUAUAUGGAGGAACACCGGUGGCGAAAGCGGCUCUCUGGUCUGUAACUGACGCUGAGGCUCGAAAGCGUGGGGAGCGAACAGGAUUAGAUACCCUGGUAGUCCACGCCGUAAACGAUGAGUGCUAGGUGUUGGAUCCUUUCCGGGAUUCAGUGCCGCAGCUAACGCAUUAAGCGCUCCGCCUGGGGAGUACGACCGCAAGGUUGAAACUCAAAGGAAUUGACGGGGGCCCGCACAA
rnacentral:rRNA from 1 species